rnacentral:rRNA from 1 species
UACGUAGGGUGCAAGCGUUAAUCGGAAUUACUGGGCGUAAAGCGUGCGCAGGCGGUUAUGUAAGACAGAUGUGAAAUGCCCGGGCUUAACCUGGGAACUGCAUUUGUGACUGCAUGGCUAGAGUGUGUCAGAGGGGGGUAGAAUUCCACGUGUAGCAGUGAAAUGCGUAGAGAUGUGGAGGAAUACCAAUGGCGAAGGCAGCCCCCUGGGAUAAUAUUGACGCUCAUGCACGAAAGCGUGGGGAGCAAACAGG